UAGGGAAUCUUCCGCAAUGGACGCAAGUCUGACGGAGCAACGCCGCGUGAGUGAAGAAGGAUUUCGGUUCGUAAAACUCUGUUGUUAGAGAAGAACAGCGCAUAGAGUAACUGUUAUGCGUGUGACGGUAUCUAACCAGAAAGCCACGGCUAACUACGUGCCAGCAGCCGCGGUAAUACGUAGGUGGCAAGCGUUGUCCGGAUUUAUUGGGCGUAAAGCGAGCGCAGGCGGUCAAUUAAGUCUGAUGUGAAAGCCCCCGGCUCAACCGGGGAGGGUCAUUGGAAACGGGUUGACUUGAGUGCAGAAGAGGAGGGGGGAAUUCCAUGUGUAGCGGUGAAAGGCGUAGAUAUAUGGAGGAACACCAGUGGCGAAGGCGACUCUCUGGUCUGUAACUGACGCUGAGGCUCGAAAGCGUGGGUAGCAAACAGG
rnacentral:rRNA from 1 species